rnacentral:rRNA from 1 species
CCUACGGGCGACAGCAGUGGGGAAUAUUGGACAAUGGGGGUAACGCUGAUCCAGCGAAGCCGCGUGAGUGAAGAAGUAUUUCGGUAUGUAAAGCUCUAUCAGCAGGGAAGAAAAUGACGGUACGUGACUAAGAUGCCACGGAUAACUACGUGCCAGCACACGCGGUUAUACGGCGGGGGCAAGCGUUAUCCGGAUUUACUGGGUGUAAAGGGAGCGUAGUCGGUGCUGCAAGUCUGAUGGUAAAGGUUGGGGCCCAACACCGAGACUGCAUUUGAAACUGGUGAACUGGAGUACAGGAGAGGUAAGCGGAAUUCGGAGUGGAGCGGUGAAAUGCGUAGAUAUUAGGAAGAACACCAGUGGCGAAGGCGGCUUACUGGACUGUAACUGACGUUGAGGCUCGAAAGCGUGGGGAGCAAACAGGAUUAGAUACCCGAGUAGUC